CCAUCCACUUUUUCAUCACAGCAACAACAAGAACAAGAGCAGCAGCAGCAGCAGGAAGAUCUGAUGAGAUUCUCUCCUUGGUUCCGCAGCUCCUCUAGUUCCGAUUAUCAAGAACAUGAGAAGGACUCUAGUAAACCUAGCGAGUAGUAUCUCUGGCUUCCAAUUAAGAGCUAUAAAGGAAAAAAAAAAAAAUCAAUGGUAUUCAUCAGUUAGUUAGGAAAAUCUUAUCUGUCAGUGUCUUAAUUUCGUAUGGGAUUCCCUAAACAAGAGCUUCAAAG
rnacentral:misc_RNA from 1 species